UCUCCAGGGGGCAAUCCUUACCUAGUCCUCCUUUAGGAGCGCAGAGGAAACGGGAGAGUUCGCAUGGUAUGUGAUUAGUGUCUCUGAAUAAUCAGGGCUUGGAACACUCUGAUUGCUCCUAUCUGAU
rnacentral:snoRNA from 1 species